AACGAACGCUGGCGGCAGGCUUAACACAUGCAAGUCGAGCGCGCCCUUCGGGGUGAGCGGCGGACGGGUGAGUAACGCGUGGGAACGUGCCCUUUCCUCCGGAAUAGCCCUGGGAAACUGGGAGUAAUGCCGGAUACGCCCUUUGGCAGCGAUGUCAUUGGGGAAAGAUUUAUCGGGGAAGGAUCGGCCCGCGUUGGAUUAGGUAGUUGGUGGGGUAAUGGCCUACCAAGCCGACGAUCCAUAGCUGGUUUGAGAGGAUGAUCAGCCACACUGGGACUGAGACACGGCCCAGACUCCUACGGGAGGCAGCAGUGGGGAAUCUUGGACAAUGGGGGCAACCCUGAUCCAGCCAUGCCGCGUGAUCGAUGAAGGCCUUAGGGUUGUAAAGAUCUUUCAGCUGGGAAGAUAAUGACGGUACCAGCAGAAGAAGCCCCGGCUAACUCCGUGCCAGCCGCCGCCGUAACAC
rnacentral:rRNA from 1 species